rnacentral:rRNA from 1 species
GACGAACGCUGGCUGCGUGCUUAACACAUGCAAGUCGAACGCUGAAGCCCGAAGCUUGCUUCGGGUGGAUGAGUGGCGAACGGGUGAGUAACACGUGAGUAACCUGCCCCUGAUUUCGGGAUAAGCCUGGGAAACCGGGUCUAAUACCGGAUACGACCGACCCUCGCAUGAGGGUUGGUGGAAAGUUUUUCGAUCAGGGAUGGGCUCGCGGCCUAUCAGCUUGUUGGUGGGGUAAUGGCCCACCAAGGCGACGACGGGUAGCCGGCCUGAGAGGGCGACCGGCCACACUGGGACUGAGACACGGCCCAGACUCCUACGGGAGGCAGCAGUGGGGAAUAUUGCACAAUGGGGGAAACCCUGAUGCAGCGACGCAGCGUGCGGGAUGACGGCCUUCGGGUUGUAAACCGCUUUCAGCAGGGAAGAAGCGAAAGUGACGGUACCUGCAGAAGAAGUACCGGCUAACUACGUGCCAGCAGCCGCCGUAA